rnacentral:lncRNA from 1 species
AACCGUGGAUGCCUCCUCCAGCUCACCGGCACCCUCACCGAGGAUUGCCGCCAUGGCAUUGUCGGCGUCCUCCAACUCUUCAUCUUCCAGAUUGAACAUUGCCGUCAUUGCCGCGAUGAUGUCCGCCGGCAGCGCUCCACUGUACAUAUCCAGAUAUUCCUGCAAAGCACGUUCCACCGGCAGAAGAUCGUCAGAGAGAAGGCCAAGUUUGCGGCAGAGAUUCUGCUGCGCUCUCUGGACGGCAUUCAUCGGGCGUGCAUUCGCCAGACGCGAGCUGCGCCGCACUGCAGACAUAUCAAAAGUGCGACGUUUGCGCCUACGGGGGGCCGGGCUUGGUGAACUUGCCUGCUGUGGUGGUGGCGAAGGCAAAGGCAGCACCGGGCGGGGCGGUGUCACGAACAGACUUGCAAUGCCGGGGGAGGCUUGAGUGGUCGGCGCUGUUGGAGUAGCUGCAACCUGUGCGGCAUCAGUUGGAGUAGCAGCAGCCUCCCAAAGCGCCUCUUGGGAUACAACAGUCCCUCCCAGGACAGGCGACGGUGGUGAGUGGCCGGAGACAGGAACGUCCUGGUCGGCCUGAAGCUCCAACUGGCGAAGAGCGAGCUCCACCUCAUCAUGG